GCCCCGGUGGUCUAAUGGUUAUGACGGCGGAUUGUCAAUCCGCUAAUUCGGGUUCGAUUCCCGGUCGGGGCG
rnacentral:tRNA from 1 species